UACGUAGGGUGCGAGCGUUAAUCGGAAUUACUGGGCGUAAAGUGUGCGCAGGCGGCCGCGCAAGUCGAGUGUGAAAGCCCCGAGCUUAACUUGGGAAUUGCGCUCGAAACUACGUGGCUCGAGUGUGGCAGAGGAAGGUGGAAUUCCACGUGUAGCGGUGAAAUGCGUAGAGAUGUGGAGGAACACCGAUGGCGAAGGCAGCCUUCUGGGCCAACACUGACGCUCAUGCACGAAAGCGUGGGGAGCAAACAGG
rnacentral:rRNA from 1 species